rnacentral:rRNA from 1 species
AAGGUAACGGCUUACCAAGGCAACGAUGCAUAGCCGACCUGAGAGGGUGAUCGGCCACACUGGAACUGAGACACGGUCCAGACUCCUACGGGAGGCAGCAGUAGGGAAUCUUCCGCAAUGGGCGAAAGCCUGACGGAGCAACGCCGCGUGAGUGAUGAAGGUCUUCGGAUCGUAAAACUCUGUUAUUAGGGAAGAACAUAUGUGUAAGUAACUGUGCACAUCUUGACGGUACCUAAUCAGAAAGCCACGGCUAACUACGUG